UGCAUUCACCACUAUAAGUCGCUCUGGAUAAGAGUGUCUGCUAAAUUACUAAAA
rfam:Salmo salar isolate Sally breed double haploid chromosome ssa18, whole genome shotgun sequence.